UGCUUGCUUAGGCAGCAAUAUGGUAAUACUGGAAUGGUACAGAAAAGAUUAGCACAGCUCCUGUGCAAGGAUGACAUGCAAAUUCGUGAAACAUUCCAUUUAAAA